CCCGCGCCGCCAACGUGCGGUCGGAACCCGCUGGCCUGAGCCCAAAAGAGCUGCGGCCUUUGCCAGUGUGGAGCUGGAGUUUUCAGAUUUUACAGAUGUAUGAUCUCUUACUGGAUUACCAACUCCUGGAAGAUAGGUUGUUUCCUGCUCAGCCUUGUAUUCCUCACUGCCAAAUCCAGAAACUUGUACAAAAGAAGCAGUGUGCUAUGUUAAAGAUGGGAUAAACAUGGAUAGC
rnacentral:lncRNA from 1 species